ACUCUUCUACAUCAACGUUUUUUUGCAACAGCGCCGCCGCCGCGAACAGCACAGCUUCUCGUCGGAAAUCACGCUCGGCUAGGUAGCGUACAAUCUUUAUUCCAUGGCGUACAGCUCUCAAUUACUUUCCUCGAGGCGUCACGAACAGCAAAGUUCCAAGGUUAUAAGGUGAUUUGUGCAUGAUGGUCUUGUCAGUUAGUUCAAAAGGAACCUUGUGUGACUUCAUCGAUUGUGGACAGCUUCCUAUGCAUACAAGUUCAGGGUAGGUCAUUGCAACAUUCUCCAUGCACUUGAGAACUUGUAGGUUAUCUUGUCUACCCUGCUGUGUCUACCCUGCUGUAGCCAGACUAAACCUCCUUGUCUUUCCGUCUAUUAUCUACUCCUGCUUCCUUCCUCUUUCGAAUAAAACCGCACCGUCCCAAUAUACAUUGAUUCUGUUUAUAUCUGGUCUGGAUAGCAAGAAGUCAUACGUCGCACCUUCUAUCACCAAUACUUUACUCUAUUUUAUGACCUUGGAACUCAAUGUUUACUGAGGCCCACAGAUUAUGCAAUGUCACUUUUACAUCGUAACCUUGUACUCUUCCACGACGCAGGUGACUUGCAUCCACCAGCUUGGCAUUUAUUAUAGACACAGAAGCACUGCUGUCUACCAAUGCCAUUACAUGACUGUUUCCCACUUUGACAGGAACUUGAAGUAGGCUACAGCAAGCGAAAUAAAGUCUCAGUUGCAGUCAUCAGGUUGGACUCAUCACCCUUGUUUAUUAGUUUCUUUUGUCGCCAAAAACUCUUGAGCAUCAUUGUCAACAUCAUUCACCUGACCUGGGGGAGUGAGCAAGUUCUCUGCUCCUUGCAAAGUGGCUCAGUUCUCGCUGAUUACAGCAUGACCAAUCUGUGUCGGUCCGUACAAAGUGACUGCUUGAGUUAGUAGUUAUUUUUUUUUUCUGAUUAGGUGACAUGUCUUGAAGGCACUCCAGGAACCUGUUGAGGUGAUCAUAUGGGCCUUUGGAUAGAACAUGAAGAUGCACAAGAGCCUGGGGAGGGGAGAAAAGGAGGAUGAAGUUGGAAUAAAGGUAGACAAGAUGGAUGCCAGUUCCACAGGAA
rnacentral:lncRNA from 1 species